GAGGACUGGGAAUAAACCUCCUGCGUCCAUGCCACACUCGUCUAGACAUGGAGGAAGGCGUCUUGGCUUCUUGGCCACUGACCACUUUCCCCAGCCAGUCUGACUGCCCAGAUUCAGGCAUCAUCUCGGCCACUCCCACAGGGCACAGCUUCUUGCAUCCCCUCUCCAAGUGAUCCUCUUGCCUAGAUUGCGCUUUGUCCCAGUGAAUACCCUCAGGGACCCUUUCCUUCACCCAUGCCCUGACUCUGUGUGGUACUCCCUGGGACAGCCUGUCGUAUCAGCGUGGUCCACUGGCCAGGCAGGCAGUGGGUGUGUGCACUGGGGGUCCAGCAGGUCCUCUUCCCACAGCCCAGCAGUGGAUGUCCCGGGGCUUGAACACCAGCAUCUUGCUCCAGUACCUGGCCUGGGUCACCUACCCUGUUGUCCUCAUCACUUUCUCAGCCGGAUUCACACAGAUCCUGGCCCCUCAGGCUGUCGGCUCUGGCAUCCCUGAGAUGAAGACCAUCUUGCGGGGAGUGGUGCUGAAAGAAUACCUCACACUCAAGACCUUUAUAGCUAAGGUCAUUGGGCUGACCUGCGCCCUAGGCAGCGGGAUGCCGCU
rnacentral:lncRNA from 1 species